rnacentral:rRNA from 1 species
GGGGAAUAUUGCACAAUGGGCGCAAGCCUGAUGCAGCGACGCCGCGUGAGGGAUGACGGCCUUCGGGUUGUAAACCUCUUUCAGUAGGGAAGAAGCGUAAGUGACGGUACCUGCAGAAGAAGCGCCGGCUAACUACGUGCCAGCAGCCGCGGUAAUACGGAGGUGGCGAGCGUUAUCCGGAUUUACUGGGCGUAAAGGGUGUGCAGGCGGGCUGUUAAGUGGUGUAUGAAAUCGCCGGGCUCAACCGGGCGAGGUUAUGCCAGACUGGCAGUCUAGAGAGCGAGAGAGGGACGUGGAAUUCCGGGUGUAGUGGUGAAAUGCGUAGAGAUCCGGAGGAACCCCAGAGGCGAAGGCGGCGUCCUGGCUCGCAUCUGACGCUCAGACACGACAGCAUGGGGAGCGAAC